rnacentral:rRNA from 1 species
GAUGAACGCUGGCUACAGGCUUAACACAUGCAAGUCGAGGGGAAACGACGGGGAAGCUUGCUUCCCCGGGCGUCGACCGGCGCACGGGUGAGUAACGCGUAUCCAACCUGCCUCUGACUGAGGGAUAACCCGUCGAAAGUCGGCCUAAUACCUCAUGGCAUCGUCUGCGGGCAUCCAACGACGAUUAAAGAUUUCAUCGGUCAGGGAUGGGGAUGCGUCUGAUUAGCUUGUUGGCGGGGUAACGGCCCACCAAGGCUACGAUCAGUAGGGGUUCUGAGAGGAAGGUCCCCCACAUUGGAACUGAGACACGGUCCAAACUCCUACGGGAGGCAGCAGUGAGGAAUAGUGGUCAAUGGGCGGGAGCCUGAACCAGCCAAGUAGCGUGCAGGAUGACGGCCCUAUGGGUUGUAAACUGCUUUUAUGCGGGGAUAAAGUGAGGGACGUGUCCUUCAUUGCAGGUACCGCAUGAAUAAGAACCGGCUAAUUCCGUG